GUUCACGUAGUGCGCAAAACGUGCCUGUGGUUCACUGAAUGCAGUUGCAGUAUGCUCAUGGUAGAAGACGAAAAUAUUUUGGCAAUAUCAAGGAAUUUACAAACUUGCCUACAAACCAACAGUUAAAGAAGUGUUGUAUUGCCCAAAAGAAAUGAGUGCAGACAGAACAGAAAGACUAAUCAUUUUAGUUUUUCCGAAAGUUUAUGAAGUGAAGGAAGGUCUCUUCUUCUUCAAAUGGAAGAAGUGGUGAGUGAGAGCCUCCGAAAUGUACGUCUAAUACACUGUUGGGACACUUCUUCUCUUGGUGGUAGCCAAUCAGACAUUUAAAAGCCAUGGUUCCCGUUUGGAAAAUGCCCUUCCGGAAUGGGAAUCGGCUUAAGAGAGAGAUAAAUUCACCUGCAAAUGGCCAUGGUAGUAGCCAUAAACUCUUUUUUUUCCUCAUCCUAUUUAGUACGCUAUACCAUCAAAUGGGAUGGGGAUGCAGAUUCAACUCUCUAUGUUUAUGGUGAUGAAAAAAACAGUAAGUCGUCAAGAAUAACUUUCAUCAGCAACAAUCCUCCAGAACAGCAAUUAAUUAGCAAUUUCCAAAUGCUUCGAGCAGUACAUAACAUAUCUGGUUGCCGAGAAGUACAUGUCAUCGCUACAAUUUUUAUUAGUUUUCAUUGAAUUUCAAAAAUUUGUUAAAUGUUAAUAUUAUGUCUUUUAGGAAUUUUGAAUCCGAAAAAAUUUCAAAAUUUUGGAAGGUUUUAUCUGGCAUGCUCUAUACGAGUGGGGGAGGGGCCGUGUACACGCACGUGGUACAACCACGUCUAAUCGCAACAUUUGAUGCCAUGCAAGAAAAGUAAAAAAAAAAAUAAACCUUUUUUUUUUGCUGUGAAGUGUGAACUUGGGCAAUCAGUCGACGGAAAAUGUAAGAAACAUACGUUAGCAUAUUAUCCAUUCUCAUUAAUUUGAUUUUCCAUCAAAAGGCUUUCAUAGUUUUGGCGUAAGUCACUUCAAACAAUUAGCAUAGAUCGACGAAUUUUUUUUGCUCAAAAAUUUUUUGCUAAAGAAAAGUGACAUAUUUUUUCCAUUCCAAUCACGACUUCAAUGUAGUGAAAGAAUUACCCCUUUUGAUCAACAAAACAUGCAAGACGUUUCUACUAAAACAACCCUGAAAAAAAAGAAUGUGAUGUUCGUCUCAACAAGAGAUGCAACCAUGUUAAUGUUUUGAGUGCGCUGAUCUCAAGAACCUCGCUUAAAAAGAGGUGGAGACUGCGUCAAGACGAAAGCACUGGGGAGAUGGGGAAGCUCUAGGCUUGAACUAUUCCAUCAAUUCGGCUAUGUUAAAACACGCUUCAGAAUUAGGAACACCUAAUUCAAGCAGCGUUGCAGAAUAAGAAUAUAUUGAUUAUUAAAAGUUUUGUUUUGAUAUUCAUAUUUGGCAUUGGCAUUGCUGUUUAUUCCGCCUGUAAUUCUGGUUCUCAGUCAAUGAGGCGACAGCGUCGUCAGCAGAUAGUUGCCAACAGAUAAAUGUAAAGAAUCACAAAGAAUUGAAUUCCAUGGAAAUGUUUCGUCAUUGUAGGGGGGGGGGGGGGAUUCACAAACUCAAAUGUAUAUAAAUAUUAUUUUUUAUGAAAUGCUUAUAUUUUCUGUUCAUCAUCACGAUUCAUAACAGUGUCUGGAAUUAUUAUCUCAGCGGUUGUGUUGUCAGAAUCUUGCGUGCCAUUGUUUGAUUCAUUAAUCUGUUAAAAAUUCUACAAAUAUAAUUAAAUACAAUUUUAUAUUACUUAAAUAUUAAUACCGUGUUAGCACUAUCAUUUUCUUCUACCCUACUGACAUCCAUAUCAAUAUCAGAAUCCUCUAAAUCAAUAUUAUUAUUUUUAGUUUUAUAGUUGGAAAUUUUUUAUUUUUACAUGUAUACAGCUGAAUACCUUUGACCGAUUAUUAAUGGGAGUAGUUGUAUCACUUGACUGUUUGACAAUACUAUUUGAAUCUUCAGAAGGCUGUUAUGUAAAUAAAAUAUUUAUGCUUUGUUACUUGAUAUUACAUAUUUAUUUUAAUUGAAUAACCUCUUCAAUUUGGCUUUCUGACUCGCUUUCUUUAUCCAUGGACUUUUUAUUGACUUUUUCACUUGACUUUUUUACGAUACUAUUUGCAUCUUCAGAAGACUGUUAAGUAAAUAAAAUAUUUAUGCAUUGUUACUUGUUAUGAUAUUUUUUUCAAUUGAAUUACCUUUCAAUUUGGCUUUCAGGCUCGCUUGCUUCAUCCAUGGAUUUCUCAUCUCCCAUCCCGUCAUCUGAAAAAGAACUUUCAUCUGCAACCAAUGCUUUUAAAUCGAGAUUUUUCACCGAACGGCAAGUCAUUGAACUUUCCUGUAAAUAUUUAUUUUGAUGUUAUUAAAAGAUAGGUUAGAAAAAUAAAAAAUAUUUAUAUUACUGGUAUACUUGCGCUUGAUCCUUAAAUUGAUCAUAAUUGACUUGCUUGACUUUUGGGUUCAGCAUUUUUUCGAUUAAAAUUUUAGAUUUGCCUACACAGAAAACAAAAAUAUGGUAUCCUCAAAAUCCUCUAAGCAACAAAAAGAUUUUACCCUUUCUGCUAAUAAUUCAGCUUUAGAUCGAGCCAGAUCUGAUUUCAAGUUCUGUAAAGAAAAGGCAAUUUGAUUAAUGUAAUUAAAAAGUUAAAGGUAAAGAUUAAAAUUAAAACUUACAUUAACUUCAACGUUAACUGUCCUUUUAUAAGCCAUAAAUCCUCUAACAAGUUGUUUUUUGGUUAAAUUCAGUAACUUUGAUUCUGUUAGAUCGUUCAUUUUAGAACUUUACUAAACUAGCUACUAUGUUUUGAUGUAAUAGUGUACUGUGUGGCCUAAUUUUGAAAUAAUUCUUCAUUAAACUAAAUGUUUCAUGGCUUAUCUAACCAUGAAAAUCACAUAAUCAUGACCAUGCUACGAUAUUGUAUAACUAUGGCUAAAAAAAUUUCGAUGUUUUGCUCUUUUCGUUAACAAAUCAUGCAGUUAGCGUAAAAGGCGUAAUUUGAAAUGGUGCCUUCUUUCAUGCAGUCAUUAAAAUUCU